rnacentral:rRNA from 1 species
AGGGUGAGACCUGAUGCCGAGCCGAUUGUGGUGAAGUGGAUGAUCCUAUGCUGUCGAGAAAAGCCUCUAGCGAGUUUCAUGGCGGCCCGUACCCUAAACCGACUCAGGUGGUCAGGUAGAGAAUACCGAGGCGUUCGGGUGAACUAUGGUUAAGGAACUCGGCAAAAUGCCCCCGUAACUUCGGGAGAAGGGGGGCCACGGCUGGUGAU